GUGAUCCUAAAUUUUGGGGAGGCAUUUUAUACAGCUGAAACAAUCUUCAUCCAUUAUCGAUGACACCACACUACCAUGGAAACACGAGAGAUUUGACGGCACUACUUGGAAAAAAAACUUCUGGUUGGAGUGAAGAAGGGAAAACAGAAUUUUCAAAAUUACAAAACUCAGAGCCUGAUGACGGAAGUCUCUUCUCAAUAUGUGUGACAGCUCAAUCCUGCGUGACACACUCCUGUCUCGUUGUCUUUAUACGUCGACCUCCCCAGGCGAGCCACUGACAGCUCAGCAGCAGCUACAACAAAGCGAGGCAACCCCCCCCCCUUCUCUACCACUCUUUCCUCAUUGACUCACGCCCAAAACUGAGAGGAAGAUUGAGAGACAGCAGGUGGAGUUGGCAUGGAAGAUCCCACGAGCAUUUCCAGGAUCCUCAAAAACAGUUUUCAAGUUUGAUGGACGUAAGCAUCUGCACAGUCGGAUUUUCUAGCUCCUGGACCAGGCGCACACUCACUGCCUGUGUGUGGAACUUUUGAAGCAUCAGCAGAGGCUCAGGUCAGCUUUCAAAGUAAAACUCUCAAGGUACUUUUCAUGCUGGUCCUGAUUUGAUGCUGUAAACAACCCAUGAGGACAAAGCAGACGCAUCAAGGUGGUUUGAUCUAGUAGUUGAAGCUUUUAACGUGCUUCUGACAAGAAAAACAGCACAUUUGAUAGCUUUUCCCUGUUGUUUCAUUUUAGUACUGAAUAGGAUGGAAAAUUGUGAAGAUAUACUCAGACUCAAUCAGGCAAUACAUCCUGUGCAGACAGACUCCCUCAAGGUUCUUUUAUCAAGCACAAUGACUAAUCUAAUAAAAGUCUGAAAUCAA